AGCUGGUCCAGAGCGGACUCCAUCCUCUGGCGUUUUACAGGGGACCCAGACAUGGCGAGGCGCGUAGAGCUGAGGCGGCAGCAGGAGCGCGGCGACCCACAAUGCCCCGCGCGUCCUGACCAAUCGGAGCAAAGCUAGGGAAGCUCAUUAAGAAGUAAACAACUCAGAACAGCUUCAGGAAGUCCCAGAAAUGGAGAAGUUGCACUAGGGAGGAGCAGUUUAUAAGCAGUGAAGACUGUCUCUAUCUCACAAUCCCAGCUGCCUGGAAGAAGCAGAGACCUAGAAGACACAAAGACCACAGAGCUUCCUGGAAGGGCUCAGACCAACCAAGUCACUUGGAAAGGACACUCUCCAGCCCGUUGAGCUCCUUGUAGGCUGUGCAUCAUCCUCCAGAUCCCCAGCUUUUGUGUUUUGUCACCCACUCUGGAGUGACCUUUACAGAUACAGCCGUCUUUGAGCCAUUCCUGCUUCUCUAAGUAACUACAAUAAAGCUGAGUUGGACUUUGGCGUUA